rnacentral:pre_miRNA from 1 species
AGCUUUUCGAAUCCGUGCUGAGAUUUCGUCAGGAACCAACCCAUUAUUGCUGAUCAGACUUCCAAGAUAAGUGAAGUU